AUUGCAGGAGUCCCAGAGAUGCGCUAGAAAGGCUCACCGUGAAGUACACAUCUCCUGGCUAGCACCGUGCGGUGGGGUCCUCCAGAGAUGCUGGGGCAGGGUCCGCUCUCCAGCCUUGGUGUCGCGGAGACUGCAGAGGGGUGACAGUGUGCUGCUUCCACGCAGAGGUCCGAGGGGCUCUGGGUGGAGCCUGGUCCUGUCGCUCCUGUCUGUGGGCCAUCCAGCCUGGUCCUCCAGUACCCCAGACGUUGUUCUAAAAGCAGAACCUUUGAAGCUGUAAGUGCUUCUAUGUGUGGAGGCUGAUAGAUUUAGGGAGGUGAAGAGGCUUGAGAAGCUGGUGGCUAACGGUGGUGCCGUUAAUACAAUGAAUCACAAGGCAAUUCGCCCAUUCAGUCUGCUUCCGCUGCUGGUACAGCUACUGUGGUCCAUGGCCUUGCAGACAAGGAAGGGGGCAGAUGGAGAAAACACAUGCUGAUUCUGCCCUCGUAAUGUCCAAACAAGGACUUGCUUUUAUCUGUCUGCAACUGGACUUAAUUAGAACGUUAGAUUGGUGAGCUGAAAUCACCUGCUGGAGUUGGGUCAGACCAUCAGACAUGCCUGCGUUAAGUGGCUUUGUUUAAAUACAGCCUGCGAUGGAUAAUUUUAUCUGUCGACUUGGCCAGGCCACAGGGACCAGUCGAACGGUUUAGAUGUUUCUGGGAAGAUACUUUAUACCUGGAAUGAACCUGUGCAUCAGUAGCCUUUGAGUAAAGCAGGUGACCUGCUGUAAUGUGGGUGGGCCUUAUCUAAUCAGGUGAAGAACAUAAGAGAAAAAGGAAUUUGAGGUCCUCCAGAGAAGAAGGAAUUCUGCCUGAGUUUCCAGCUUGCUGCCCUGAUGACACUUGGACGUACGACUGAAACAUCAACUCUUACUGAAUUUCCAGGCUGCUGGCCUGCCCUGGGGAUUUUGGACUUGCCAGCCCUAAAAUCAUGAUCCUGCCUAGACUCGCCCCGCCGGCAUACAUCGCUUCUCUGGGCCUCCACGGUACCCAGGGGGACCCGCCCCCAACCCCCAGUGGACUGCAGCGAUGCCCACGGGCAAUGAGCCAACCCAGUGAGGCAUGAGGAAGAUUGGAACCAUCUGGAGAGGAAAUCUCCAUGAGUCUCUCUCUCUUGUGUUUUUUUUUUUUUUUUAAUUUUUAUGGGAGUAGAGUUGCUUUACCAUACUGUGUUAGUUUCUGCUGUACAGCAAAGUGAAUCAGCUCUACGUACACGUAUAUCCCCUCUUUUUUGGAUCCCCUUCCCAUUUAAGUUACCACACAGCGGUGAGUAGAGUUCCCUGUGCUACACAGUAGGUUCUCAUUCGUGAUCUAUUUUAUACAUAGUGCCAAUGGCGGAUAUAUGGGAGGUUGGGGUUGACAUAUAUACUCUGUGAUUCUCUCUAAAUAGCCUGGGUUCGGAAGAAAUGGAAGCUUGGCUAGCGGGUGGCAGGACCCCCGUGGUAGCAUGGCCGUGGGGUAUGCAGACUGGACAGCCAACACCUGUAGGCAUCUGAUGACACCUACAGUGGAUACAUCAAACAGGGUGGGUUGUCCACGGCUUAGACGGCUCCUUCUACCAGAAGCUCCCAGGCGUGUCUGAUUGGAGCUGAAUCAUGACAAGCCAGAGUUGAACUUGCUGGGAUAAGAGCCUGGAACCAGACAUCACUGUCUCUGUGGAGAUCUAGGGGAGCAGCAGGGACCACCCUCCUUGGCCACUAGUUCUGGCAUCAUGGAACCCAACUUGUCUUCUGAGAACAGAUGGGCUCCAUGGGGAACAGGUGAACCACUGAGAAAUGCAUGAAAGAUUCUCACAGCCUUUGACAAAGGAUAAAUCCAGGAUGAAGAUGGUGGUCGACCUCUCUCUAAAAGAGAACGCCCGACCUGGGCACAUUACCUUAUUUGUGGUGUUUUCCACCUUCUGAUCAUUUAGAGCAGCUCGGGGAUAGGAUGGCUUUGUUCUAAUCAUUUGAGAACUUGGGCUUACACUCUCCACCCCCCGACCCCGUUCUAAAAAAAAAAAAUCCUCCAAAUCUCUUCUUACCCUCCAGUUUUCCCCUUCUGAGAAUGGUCCCACUGUAGUUGAACCUUGAACCACGUGGAGGUUCAGAGCACCAAAAAUUUGAGUAUAACUUAGAGUCAGCACUCGGUGUCCAUGGUUCCUCCAUAUACAAGGGUUCAUCUAGCUUUGGAUCGUGUGGUACUGUCGUACAUACUUAGUGGAAAAAAUGUGCUUGGAAGUGGACCCACGCCGUCCAAACCUGUGUUGCCCAAGGGUCAGCUGUAUAUAUACAUAAUGAUUCAAGUCAAAAUCUGCAAGUGGGUGCUCUAACGUGGUGUUCUCAGACUUUAACAUGUGAGUCUGACAUGAUAGGUCCGAGGCGAGACUUGAGAACAUCCGUUCAUGGCUGGCACCCAGGUGAUGCAGAUGCCGGUGGCCCAUGUGUUGAGCGGGAAGGGUCUAGAGACGUAUCCCAGUGGCCCAACAUAGUAGCCAGUAGUCAUCCCUGCCUAACUAAAUGUAAAUGAUUUAAAAUAAAAGACAACUUCAAACCUUACUUCCUUGGUCAUACGAGCCACGUUUCAAGCAAGUGCUGGGUAGCCGCCAUGUUGGAUGACACAGCGUAGAACGUUAUUCCAGCACUGCAGAAACUUCUGCAGGACUGUGUUCGUCUAGAGGCUGGCUAUCACCCAGGAACAUCUAGUUACAAUAAGGCUAAUGGGUUUUUAACCUUUGGAAUUUUUUUUUGAUUUGAAGAUGUGAAGGGGUAUGAGUGAAUACCCACAUAAAAUUCUGUAUAGCAGCGUAAAGCCCUUCCUAAUCAGGGCACAAAUAUACGUCCCUCAGAACAUGGGGCUCCCUAGAUAUUCUAAAAAGCCCUGAUAUUGAAGAGCUAAAUCCUGAAAAAUGUCCCAAAUGUCUAAAUAUGUCUGUUACACAUACUCCUGUACCCCCCAUGCAGGGUAGCUGUAGAAGUCUACAGCUAUUUAUUUACACGUAUCUGCAUAGUCUCAUCUUUUCUUACAAUUAUUUUACAUUCUCUAGGUGAGCGAAAGACAAGAAGAUUCGGGCUUCCCGGAAGCGGAAUCACGCAGGUGUUCCUACUUGAGGCGAUUUCUUCCCGGCGAUGAGUGAGAGAUCCAGGUUCCUGGCCAAAGUGGUCCUCUGCCAUCAUCAACACCUGCCUCCCAAGGUACUGAAACCCCAGCAGGUGGGAGAAGUUAACUGCAUGCUGCCCACCAGCACGCAGACCCAGACCCGUUGGAACCAGAAGGUCAAUGAUGCUGACUUCGAUGACCUCACCACCAACCAAUGAGAAGAGUGCCCAUGAGCUGACCACGCCCUCUUUGAACCAUCGCUGUAAAACUCCUCACAACCACCUCCAGGUUGGGACACACAGUUUUCUGUGUUUUGUUUAAUAUUUAUUUAUUU